GACGAACGCUGGCGGCGUGCCUAAAACAUGCAAGUCGAGCGGAAGUUGGAGAGCUUGCUCUUCAACUUUAGCGGCGGACGGGUGAGUAACACGUGGGCAACCUGCCCUGCAGAUCGGGAUAACUCCGGGAAACCGGUGCUAAUACCGAAUAGUUUUCGCCACCUCCUGGUGGCGUACGGAAAGACGGUUUCGGCUGUCACUGCAGGAUGGGCCCGCGGCGCAUCAGCUAGUUGGUGGGGUAACGGCCCACCAAGGCGACGAUGCGUAGCCGACCUGAGAGGGUGAUCGGCCACACUGGGACUGAGACACGGCCCAGACUCCUACGGGAGGCAGCAGUAGGGAAUCUUCCGCAAUGGACGAAAGUCUGACGGAGCAACGCCGCGUGAGUGACGAAGGUUUUCGGAUCGUAAAACUCUGUUGUGAGGGAAGAACAAGUACCAACUAACUACUGGUACCUUGACGGUACCUCACCAGAAAGCCACGGCUAACUACGUGCCAGCCGCCGCGGUAAUAC
rnacentral:rRNA from 1 species